rnacentral:tRNA from 3 species
GGCCUCGUAGCAUAACUGAAUAGUGCACCACAUUACGGCUGUGGAGGUUGAAGGUUUGAAUCCUUCCGAGGUCA